rnacentral:rRNA from 1 species
AUUGAACGCUGGCGGCAUGCCUUACACAUGCAAGUCGAACGGCAGCACGGGAGCAAUCCUGGUGGCGAGUGGCUAACGGGUGAGCAAUAUAUAGGAACGUGCCCAGUCGUGGGGGAUAACGUGGCGAGAGCUACGGUAAUAACGCCUACGGUCUAUGGAUGAAAGCGGGGGACAGCAAGACCUCGCGCGAUUGGAGCGGCCGAUAUCAGAUUAGGUAGUUGGUGAGGUAAAGGCUCACCAAGCGGACGAUCUGUAGCUGGUCUGAGAGGACGACCAGCCACACUGGGACUGAGACACGGCCCAGACUCCUACGGGAGGCAGCAGUGGGGAAUUUUGGGCAAUGGGCGCAAGCCUGAUCCAGCAAUGCCGCGUGCAGGAUGAAGGCCCUCGGGUUGUAAACUGCUUUUGUACGGAACGAAACGGUGAGCUCUAAUACAGUUUGCUAAUGACGGUACCGUAAGAAUAAGCACCGGCUAACUACGUGCCAGCCGCCGCUGUAA